rnacentral:misc_RNA from 1 species
GGAAAGACAACUUGACAAUUCACCACUGUUUAUAGUCGGCUGAGUGACGUUUUGCGAGGGUUGCAUAUUUCCUAAGGGGCGCAAGUUUAUUGCUUUAAUUUAAUUAUCGAUUGCUAUUAAUGCAUGAGCCGCAUCAUUAUUAGACACUGCUGCAAACCAAGUGGUAGAAAUGCGCCAUCAAUCCUAAAUAUAAUUAGAAGCCUGGACACGCAGUGAAGUAGGCGGAUGUGUUUGCCGAUUGGAAAAAAAUAUGAGAGCCUGGUUCAUUGCAGUUUUAUUGGCUCUGGCCGCGUUAUGUUCAGCGAAGGCUUCGCGUGUUUUGGAGCUAAGCGACCGCUUUUUGGACGUUCGUCAUGAAGGACAAUGGCUGGUGAUGUUCUACGCCCCUUGGUGUGCGUAUUGCAAGCGUACAGAGCCGAUUUGGGCGCACGUCGCACAGGCCCUGCAUAACACAAACGUUCGUGUCGCUCGACUAGAUUGCACUAGGUUUCCUUCAGUGGCUCAGGAAUUCAAGAUCAACGGCUACCCCACGAUUAUUUUCAUUAAAGGCAAUGAUGAAUUCGUGUACAAUGGCGACAGGUCAAAAGAAGACAUUUUGAACUAUGUAUUGCGAAUGUCGGGGCCGCCUGUACAACUUGUUACUCGGCCUGAAAGUGUCGACAUGCUAAAAAGCUCCCACGCUCUAUUUUUCAUCUAUGUUGGCCCUGAAAGUGGGAUCUUGUGGGACACCUACUAUGCUGCCGCGGAACAUUUCCAGCCUCACGGAUUCUUCUACGUGACAGGGGUCGAGCUAGCCAGCCAACAUUUUGAAAUCAAUCAUACACCGACAGUGAUUGUUUAUAAAGAAGAAAACCACUAUCACUUCCCGUAUGCCAAAGCUGCGAAUGAAAUGGAUCCAUUGCAAGUAAACGAAACAAUCUACCACUGGAUCAACGUUGAGAGAUUCACGACGUUUCCGAAAGUGACGCGGAAUAAUAUCCAUCAAAUGAUGAAAACGAAGAAAUGGCUCGUUCUGGCUGUUGUUGAAGAAAAUAAACUGAAUGAAGUUGCUGCUCAUGAGCUAGAGUUUCGCGAUAUGGUGGAGCGAGUGAUUCGAAAAAAUCGAAAAAAAUAUCACGAUCGGUUUCAGUUUGGAUGGAUUGGAGAUCCUGAUAUUGCUCACAGUAUUGUCAUGGAUGCUUUACCGACACCACACAUCAUAGUUAUAAAUUCCACGACGCAGGAACACCAUAUACCUGAAGACGACCCUCUUCAAAUGACCCCCCAGGCCCUGCAUCUCUUUCUAGAAAGUGUGCAUAAACAAACGGCCACCAUCUACGGUGGUAAUUCCUAUUUGGUGCGUAUUUACCGAGCGUACUUCGAAGCGAAGAAAUCUUUGAAGGAUAUGUGGCGUGGCAAUCCGGUUCUCACUUCUGUCCUGUUUGGUCUUCCACUGGGAUUCCUUUCGUUAAUACUGUACUCGAUUUUCUGCGGCGAUUGCUUAGACGCUCCCGAAGAAGACGAAGACGAGUCACAUGAGAAGAAGGAAUGAGGAUGUAUGCAGCUUCAGUUCAAAAACGUGACUUCAUUUAUUCUACGUGUACAUAGCAUGCAGUUUUGGAUGUUGCCAUCAUUUUCGACUCCAUUUCCACUCAGCAUACUCACCUAGCAAAUGCUUAGAGUACUUAAAUUAAUUAAAGUGUGCGCUGUGGGAGAUUCCGUGCAAUUCUCGUUUAAUUGAAAAUGCCAAUGUGUGUAUUGCUGGCUGUCGGUCAGUUCCAGUAGAAUUUUAUUGAUAAAUUAAUAAAACAUUUGUGAGAA